rnacentral:rRNA from 1 species
AUGCAAGUCGAACGGCAGCACAGGAGAGCUUGCUCUCUGGGUGGCGAGUGGCGGACGGGUGAGGAAUACAUCGGAAUCUACUUUUUCGUGGGGGAUAACGUAGGGAAACUUACGCUAAUACCGCAUACGACCUACGGGUGAAAGCAGGGGAUCUUCGGACCUUGCGCGAUUGAAUGAGCCGAUGUCGGAUUAGCUAGUUGGCGGGGUAAAGGCCCACCAAGGCGACGAUCCGUAGCUGGUCUGAGAGGAUGAUCAGCCACACUGGAACUGAGACACGGUCCAGACUCCUACGGGAGGCAGCAGUGGGGAAUAUUGGACAAUGGGCGCAAGCCUGAUCCAGCCAUACCGCGUGGGUGAAGAAGGCCUUCGGGUUGUAAAGCCCUUUUGUUGGGAAAGAAAUCCAGCUGGCUAAUACCCGGUUGGGAUGACGGUACCCAAAGAAUAAGCACCGGCUAACUUCGUGCCAGCAGCCGCGGUAAUACGAAGGGUGCAAGCGUUACUCGGAAUUACUGGGCGUAAAGCGUGCGUAGGUGGUCGUUUAAGUCCGUUGUGAAAGCCCUGGGCUCAACCUGGGAACUGCAGUGGAUACUGGACGAUUAGAGUGUGGUAGAGGGUAGCGGAAUUCCUGGUGUAGCAGUGAAAUGCGUAGAGAUCAGGAGGAACAUCCAUGGCGAAGGCAGCUACCUGGACCAACACUGACACUGAGGCACGAAAGCGUGGGGAGCAAACGGGAUUAGAUANCCUGGUAGUCCACGCCCUAAACGAUGCGAACUGGAUGUUGGGUGCAAUUUGGCACGCAGUAUCGAAGCUAACGCGUUAAGUUCGC